rnacentral:rRNA from 1 species
CCAAUAGCGUAUAUUAAAGUUGUUGCAGUUAAAAAGCUCGUAGUUGAAUUUCGGGGUCAGUAGGCUGGUCGUGCCACCGGUACGUACUGGUCUUACUGAUUCCUCCUUCCUGAUGAACCGUAAUGCCAUUAAUUUGGUGUUGCGGGGAGUCUGGACUGUUACUUUGAAAAAAUUAGAGUGUUUAAAGCAGGCUAACGCUUGAAUACAUUAGCCUGGACUAAUGAAAUAGGACGAUCGAUCCUAUUUUGUUGUUUUCUAGGAUUGACGUAAUGAUUAAUAGGGAUAGUUGGGGGCAUUAGUAUUCAAUUGUCAGAGGUGAAAUUCUUGGAUUUAUUGAAGACUAACUACUGCGAAAGCAUUUGCCAAGGAUGUUUUCAUUAAUCAAGAACGAAAGUUAGGGGAUCGAAGACGAUCAGAUACCGUCGUAGUCUUAACCAUAAACUAUGCCGACUAGGGAUCGGAUGAUGUUAAUUUUUUAAUGACUCAUUCGGCGCCUUACG